rnacentral:rRNA from 1 species
GUAUCAAAGAGGGUGACAAUCCCGUACUUGACACGACCACCGGUGCUCUGUGAUACGUCUUCUACGAGUCGAGUUGUUUGGGAAUGCAGCUCAAAAUGGGUGGUAAACUCCAUCUAAAGCUAAAUAUUGGUGGGAGACCGAUAGCGAACAAGUACCGUGAGGGAAAGAUGAAAAGCACUUUGGAAAGAGAGUUAAACAGUAUGUGAAAUUGUUGAAAGGGAAACGAUUGAAGUCAGUCGUGUCCAUUGGACUCAGCCGGUUCUGCCGGUCUACUUCCUUUGGACGGGUCAACAUCGGUUCUGGAUGGCGGAUAAGGGCGGGAGGAAAGUAGCACCCCUCGGGGUGUGUUAUAGCCUCCUGUCGCAUACGCUGACCGGGACCGAGGAACGCAGCUCGCCUUCAUGGCCGGGGUUCGCCCACGUACGAGCUUAGGAUGUUGACAUAAUGGCUUCAAACGAC